AUUGAACGCUGGCGGCAGGCCUAACACAUGCAAGUCGAACGAGUGGCGGACGGGUGAGUAAUGUCUGGGAACCUGCCCGAUGGAGGGGGAUAACUACUGGAAACGGUAGCUAAUACCGCAUACCAUCGGAUGUGCCCAGGUGGGAUUAGCUAGUGGGUGGGGUAACGGCUCACCUAGGCGACGAUCCCUAGCUGGUCUGAGAGGAUGACCAGCAACACUGGAACUGAGACACGGUCCAGACUCCUACGGGAGGCAGCAGUGGGGAAUAUUGCACAAUGGGCGCAAGCCUGAUGCAGCAAUGCCGCGUGUGUGAAGAAGGCCUUCGGGUUGUAAAGCACUUUCAGCGGGGAGGCGUUACCCGCAGAAGAAGCACCGGCUAACUCCGUGCCAGCAGCCGCGGUAAUAC
rnacentral:rRNA from 1 species